UUUCCUGUGGCUCAGUCAGUAGAGCAUUGUGCUAGCAACGUCAAGGUUGUGGAUCCAAACCACGGGGGAAG